CCUACGGGUGGCUGCAGUCGAGAAUCAUUCACAAUGGGGGAAACCCUGAUGGUGCGACGCCGCGUGGGGGAAUGAAGGUCUUCGGAUUGUAAACCCCUGUCAUGUGGGAGCAAAUUAAAAAGAUAGUACCACAAGAGGAAGAGACGGCUAACUCUGUGCCAGCAGCCGCGGUAAUACAGAGGUCUCAAGCGUUGUUCGGAAUCACUGGGCGUAAAGCGUGCGUAGGCUGUUUCGUAAGUCGUGUGUGAAAGGCGCGGGCUCAACCCGCGGACGACACAUGAUACUGCGAGACUAGAGUAAGGGAGGGGGAACCGGAAUUCUCGGUGUAGCAGUGAAAUGCGUAGAUAUCGAGAGGAACACUCGUGGCGAAGGCGGGUUCCUGGACAUUAACUGACGCUGAGGCACGAAGGCCAGGGGAGCGAAAGGGAUUAGAUACCCGAGUAGUC
rnacentral:rRNA from 1 species